rnacentral:lncRNA from 1 species
UUAUUUCUGUUUUAAAUAUAUAGGGUUUCAAUAAAUUCUAAAAAUGCUCGAUUUAUUUUUAUAAUUCAUUGGGGAAUUUAUAUAACUCCCCGACAUUUUUAUUUUAUCAUUUAAAAACUUUUCUUGUUCGACUUAUUUUUAAACUUUGAAUUCUGACUCGGUUUCGACUAACACGUGAUCAACAACAUAAUUUACAAUGACGUGGCAUUCAUUGCAUAGAUUUACUGUAGCUUAAUUACAUUCAACACUGUAGCAAAAGCUGAGGAUGUCACAAUUAUCAUCAAUAAUCCUAUCUCUCUCCUUCUUCAGGGAAUCAUUCAACUCCUUCACGGCCUUGACGGUACUAUUAUGUGACGCGAUCAUCUCGUGAUUGAGCACAUCCACGCCACAUGUGUGCUGCACAACGGGUGCUCGAGAAGGCGGAUCCCAUACAUAUGCCUGACAAGGGUUUAAAAUCAUCAAAAAAUAAUUAAUGAUUAGAUAUAUGGAUAUUUGCAAUGCUCAUGCAUGUUUUUUAUAACCUCAAUUACAUAAUUGCUGCUCACUUCGCCUUUCUCGUCAGCAUACCCCAAGAAGUGAUCAGAGGAGCGUUCCCAGAUGCUAGAGUCUAUGUUGUAACAAACUAAACAAUUCAGGGGAGAAAAUGCCAACAUUCAAAAUUAUUUAGAGUAUAAAACAGAAAAAAUUGGCUAAAUAAUAAAGGCCAUGGGAGUGUUUAAUGCAUGAGAAGAAGACGUAUCUUCUAAAAUUAAAACGAAGAAGCACCAAACAAAUUAAAUAAAAAUACAGACAAUUGUAAUUCUUUUUUAAGAUAGUUUAUUAUUUAGAGUGUGUUAUAGUUGUUUCUUUAAAUACAUAUUUUAGCUAUUUUUAAUAUCUUAAUAUAAAUGUAUCUUUGUAAAAAGUAUACAUUUGCAAGCUCUAUCAUCAUAGCUUAUUAUCCUUAACCAUGUUCACGUUGUUUGCUUCUUUUUGCUCAUACAUAGAUUUGAGCUAUAUGAAAUGGCACGUGAAGAGAAGCUGGCCUUCGGAGACAAUGCUCAUGGCAUAUAUUAAGCAAAUAUAGAUUUAACUGGAGAAGCGCAAUGUUGAGAAAUAAAAUGGAUGAUUUAUGUAAGAGCUGAUAUUUUUCAGAUUUAAUUCCUAGAGAUUGUGUGAGUUGAAAAGAAGAAACAAGAAACUGAUAGAAACAAUUCUUAUUUUGCAUGAUUGUGUGCAAUUCUUAUUUACUACAGUGCUAUUGCAUAUCUUCAAGUAUCACAAUUAAGUGUGCAUUUCCUCAAUAUUUUAUAUAUUUAGACCAAUGUUAUAUAGACAUAUAUUUUUGCAUGGAUAUUUUAU